GGAGAUGUGGCUCAGUGGUAGAACACUUGCCUAGCAUGUACAAGGCCCUGGGUUCAAUCCCCAGCACCCCUC
rnacentral:tRNA from 1 species